rnacentral:rRNA from 1 species
CCUACGGGAGGCAGCAGUGAGGAAUAUUGGUCAAUGGACGGAAGUCUGAACCAGCCAAGCCGCGUGAAGGACGAAGGCGCUAAGAGUUGUAAACUUCUUUUGUCAAGGGAUAAAAGCAGGCACGAGAGCCUGACUGAGGGUACUGUACGAAUAAGGAUCGGCUAACUCCGUGCCAGCAGCCGCGGUAAUACGGAGGAUUCGAGCGUUAUCCGGAUUUAUUGGGUUUAAAGGGUGCGUAGGCGGGGGGGUAAGUUAGGGGUGAAAUCCCGGGGCUCAACUUCGGAAGUGCCUUUGAUACUGUCCGUCUUGAGAGUAGUAGAGGUAGGCGGAAUGCGUAGUGUAGCGGUGAAAUGCUUAGAG